GAUAAAUUUGAAGGAAACAUAACAUUUAAUGAAGUCGUGUUCAACUAUCCCACCCGAGCAAACGUGCCAGUGCUUCAGGGGCUGAGCCUGGAGGUGAAGAAAGGCCAGACACUAGCCCUGGUGGGCAGCAGUGGCUGUGGGAAGAGCACGGUGGUCCAGCUCCUGGAGAGGUUCUACGACCCCUUGGCGGGGACAGUGUUUGUGGACUUUGGUUUUCAGCUUCUCGAUGGUCAAGAAGCAAAGAAACUCAAUGUCCAGUGGCUCAGAGCUCAACUCGGAAUCGUGUCUCAGGAGCCUAUCCUAUUUGACUGCAGCAUUGCCGAGAAUAUUGCCUAUGGAGACAACAGCCGGGUUGUAUCACAGGAUGAAAUUGUAAGUGCAGCCAAAGCUGCCAACAUACAUCCUUUCAUCGAGACGUUACCCCACGUAAGUUAACAAGUAGCUGAAAUCAGAAGAGACUAUUUUUUAUCCCCCAAACAAUUACCAAAGUUAUGCCAACAAAAUCUUGUAACAAAAUAUGUUGAUUUAUUAACAUUAACAACUUGGACAAGGCACUUCAGGAUACCAAGCUUCCUUAUUUGUAAAUGGGAAUACAUUAUGCCUACCUCAUACAAAUGUAGUGAGAAGCUCAAAACCACCAUACUUCAGGUUACAGACUGGUGGUUGAGGGCUGCAUUUAGACUGCAGUCAUGUUUGGUUUAGCCCUAUGGUACUUUUAAAACAAUUAUAGUUUUUAUUUUGAGAUAAUUAUGGAUUUACAUGUAAUUGUAAGGAAUACAGAGAUCUUAUGUACC
rnacentral:sRNA from 1 species